rnacentral:rRNA from 1 species
CCUACGGGGAGCAGCAGUGGGGAAUAUUGGGCAAUGGAGGCAACUCUGACCCAGCAACGCCGCGUGAAUGAUGAAGGUCUUCGGAUUGUAAAGUUCUUUUCUAAGGGAAGAAGAAAGUGACGGUACCUUAGGAAUAAGCCUCGGCUAACUACGUGCCAGCAGCCGCGGUAAUACGUAGGAGGCAAGCGUUAUCCGGAAUGACUGGGCGUAAAGGGGGCGUAGGUGGUUUGACAAGUUAGUAGCGCAACUCCGGAGCUCAACUUCGGAACUACUACUAAAACUGUUGGACUUGAGUACAGUUGAGGUAGGCGGAAUUCGUGGUGUAGCGGUGAAAUGCUUAGAUAUCACGAAGAACCCCGAUUGCGAAGGCAGCUUACUAAACUGUGACUGACAUUGAUGCUCGAAAGUGUGGGUAUCAAACAGGAUUAGAUACCCGAGUAGUC